UUCACUCCCUCUGGGGCACCUGGCGUUGGCUACUGGGCUGGAUGGACCUUUGGUCUGACCCGGUCUGGUCUUUCUUAUGUUCUUAACAGUUGUCAAUCCAGAGCAUUUCUGUGGCUCAAGCAAUGGUUAAUUAUUAGCUACUUAUGCCUUCACCACCUGGCCGGUUAAGCCACUGUUAUCUCUGCAGUGCAGGUACGGUCAGGGGCUGUUCUCAAGCCGGUAAAAGGCUGGGACAAGGAGGAGGGAGGUAAAUUGUUCUCGUUAACCGCUGAGGACAGGCCAAGAAGCAACGGGCUUAAACUGCAGCCCGGGCGGCGUAGGUUGGACAUUAGGAAAAGCUUCCCGUCUGUCAGGCUGGGUAAGGCCUGGAAUAACUUGCCCAGAGAUUGUGGAAUCGGCGUCACUGGCAGGUCAGACAAAGACCUGUCAGGGAUGGGCUAGGUCCCCGGCUCUCAACCUUUCCAGGCUCCUGUCCCCCUCUCCGGAGUCCGAUGUGUCCCCAGGUUCACCUCUCCUGAAAACUGCUUGCUUACAAAACCAGCCGUGACCAUGCCCAUAGUGUCCCAGCACACUGUUACCGACACGGGGCCGAUGUUCUCACUUUUCCCAUGUCCUUAUAACAAAGGGGGGGGGCCCGAUUUUGGUUGGAGGAGGGAUUCUGGGUGCCACAGGGGUUCGUGGUCUUGUGUCCUGACAGCGCCUGGCCCGGGGCUGGGGUGGUGCUGCCGUAAUGCACCUGAGAGCUAUAACGAUGAACGGCACACAGCGCAGUGUGGGGCAAGCCCCUGGCUGGGGUUCCUCGGUGUUCCCGUUGUUGGGGGGUUGGCUGAAAUGUUGUUGCUAUGGGCUGGGUGUAUCCUGUCCCCCCUCAGCCUUCCUGGCUCCUUCGCCUUUAAAGUGGCUUAGAAAAGCCUCAAGCACCUCGCCCAAAACCUCGCCCCCGCCUCUGACCUUGGCUGGCACUUUGCCUGCAGGAGCCGACUGGCUUUGUUUGGGGUUGAUCUUCGAAGGGACGAGCUCCUGGCCCGGCCCUGCAGAGCCGCACGCCACGCAGGCCAGUGGCCCGCGAGCAGCCCCGAGUUGCUCCCCGCACUUGUAGGGAGGGGAGUUUGUCUGGAGACCCUCCCUGCUCCAUCAGCAGCUGUACAGGUUCCUGCCUGCUUGGAGAUAAUCUCCGGGGCCUCGCCUGAAUCUGUCGCAGGAGGCCGAGCUGUAACCGAAGCUCCGGUGAAUCACAUUCUCACAGCCCUGCCCUCCAUGUGGGGAGCGUUGCCGGAGAAUCGCGGCUUGAGGAGCGCUCUGCAAACAUGAACGGCUUAAUUCUCGUGGCGCUCCACCCUGGGAGGCAGGACAGUUUAGAAUGGGGGAAACUGAGGCAGGGGAGGGACAGGGAAGUGACUUGCCCAAAGUCACUCGGCAGGUCAGAAAUGGAACCCAGGAGUCCUGACUCUGUCCCCCUCCAGCACCCUAAACACUAGACCCCCUCCCAGGGCUGCAGAUAGAACCCAGGAGUCCUGAAGGCCAGCUUUGUGCUCUAGCCACUAGGCCCCAGUCCUUUCCCCCAGCAAAUGAGAAGUGCUUCUGCCAAAUAUUUCAGGGGUCCUGAAAGUCCAGCAUUGCGGGGCCCCCUGGCUGUUCAGAGAGGCUGUCACCAGCUGGGGGCUUUGAACCGGGGAGAUGCAGGGCUAACAGCAUCUGGCUCCGCUCCUUGAGCUAAGGGAUUAGCUCCCUCGGCUGGCAGCAACAGUAGACCCAGAAACUGAAUCAGUGGAGCAGCCACUAAGGGGAGACGGUGGGAGAUACCCGAGCACUGUGGGUUCGAAUUCUGGGCAGCCCCCAGUGAGGAGGUGUGGAUGCCUCCCCCUGCAGGAAAACCAGGACCCACUGAGCUGCUUCCACGGGGAGACCCUGGUGAUGACCACACACAACCUGUUCUUCGGGGGGACAGAGACCGUCAGCACCACCCUGCGCUACGGAUUCCUCCUCCUCAUGAAGUACCCGGAGAUACAGGAAAAGUCCACGCUGAGAUCAACCAGGUGAUGGGGUGGCACCGCAGCCCGUCGGUAGACGACCAGGCGCGCAUGCCCCACACCGACGCCGUGAUCCACGAGGUGCAGCGUACGGCGACGUGAUCCCCAUGGGGCUCCCCGGGACACCCGGUUCAGGGGUUUCCUGCUGCCAGAGGGCACCAACGUCAUCCUGCUACCGUUCUCCGUUCACAACGACCCCGCCCAGUCCAAAGACCCGGCCACGUUCGGCCCUGCCCAUUUCCUGGACCCGAGAGGAGGUUUCCGAAAG